rnacentral:rRNA from 1 species
UACGUAGGGCGCAAGCGUUGUCCGGAAUUAUUGGGCGUAAAGAGCUCGUAGGCGGUCUGUCACGUCGGAUGUGAAAAGCCCCGGGGGCUUAACCCCGGGUCUGCAUUCGAUACGGGCAGACUAGAGUGUGGUAGGGGAGAUCGGAAUUCCUGGUGUAGCGGUGAAAUGCGCAGAUAUCAGGAGGAACACCGGUGGCGAAGGCGGAUCUCUGGGCCAUUACUGACGCUGAGGAGCGAAAGCGUGGGGAGCGAACAGG